CCUACGGGUGGCAGCAGUGGGGGAUAUUGCACAAUGGGGGAAACCCUGAUGCAGCGACGCCGCGUGAGUGAAGAAGGAUCUAGGUAUGUAAAGCUCUAUUAGCAGGGAAGAAAAUGACGGUACCUGACUAAGAAGCCCCGGCCAACUACGUGCCAGCAGCCGCGGCAAUACGUAGGGGGCAAGCGUUAUCCGGAUUUACUGGGUGUAAAGGGAGCGUAGGCGGCUUGGCAAGCCAGAUGUGAAAGGCUGGGGCUCAACCUCAGGACUGCAUUUGGAACUGUCAUGCUAGAGUGUCGGAGAGGCAGGUGGAAUUCCUAGUGUAGCGGUGAAAUGCGUAGAUAUUAGGAGGAACACCAGUGGCGAAGGCAGCCUGCUGGACGAUAACUGACGUUGAGGCUCGAAAGCGUGGGGAGCAAACAGGAUUAGAUACCCCAGUAGUC
rnacentral:rRNA from 1 species